rnacentral:lncRNA from 1 species
GAUUCCUUUCAAUCUAGUGAAGUGAUUGAUUGUAACUUUUGCAUGCUAAAUGCAUUCAUUAAAUUUUUUCCAUUUCGAACCCAGUGUUUAAUUUUGAGGUACGUAACUAAAAAAUAAAUGGUUUUGUUUUGCCCUUUAAUUUUUAGUUAAAAAGUUAAUUAUUCUUUUAAGUUUUCAAUGAUCAAUAAACCGUUUUAUAUGAUGUUUGUGAGAACUAUCACCCCUCUCAAUUUUAACUUUCCUGGUAAUGGUGUGAUAGCCACACCUCGCGUUCUCUAUAGGUGUCAUACCAUACUGCUUCUUUAAUUGGAACCAUUCCUAGCAAAAUUAAUUCCUCCAAAUUUUGGUGGUUGAAUUGUAUAUUAUUUGUGGAC